GACGAACGCUGGCGGCGUGCUUAACACAUGCAAGUCGAACGUGAUUUUUGUGGAAAUUCUUUCGGGAAUGGAAAUGAAAUGAAAGUGGCGAACGGGUGAGUAACACGUGAGCAACCUACCUUACACAGGGGGAUAGCCGUUGGAAACGACGAUUAAUACCGCAUGAGACCACAGAAUCGCAUGAUAUAGGGGUCAAAGAUUUAUCGGUGUAAGAAGGGCUCGCGUCUGAUUAGCUAGUUGGAAGGGUAAAGGCCUACCAAGGCGACGAUCAGUAGCCGGUCUGAGAGGAUGAACGGCCACAUUGGAACUGAAACACGGUCCAAACUCCUACGGGAGGCAGCAGUGGGGAAUAUUGCACAAUGGGGGGAACCCUGAUGCAGCGACGCCGCGUGAGCGAAGAAGGUUUUCGAAUCGUAAAGCUCUGUCCUAUGAGAAGAUAAUGACGGUAUCAUAGGAGGAAGCCCCGGCUAAAUACGUG
rnacentral:rRNA from 1 species